GUGCUCGCUUCAGCAGAAUAUAUACUAAAAUUGUAACAAUACAGAAAAAAUUAGCAUGGCCUCUAUGCAAGGAUGACACCCAAAUUCAUGAAGAGUUCCGUAUUUUU